CGUUGAGGAUUUUGUAUGACAAACAAAACUUCGUGUUUAUCCCAUGUAAAGGUGUAGGAAGCCUUUGCUUAAAUGCAUUGCAUCAGGUCAUGAAGCCAUAACCAGAAAUAACAAUCAGAAGGUCAUGACUGGAGGAGAGGGCAAGUUGGAGGAGAAGAUCCAUGAGCCAAAGAUGGCCGGUCUUGCAUGAUAUGCUUGCACAUCACAUCCAGGUAAUUGGCGAGCUGAGCCUUCUUUGAC